AGGGCUGUGAUGAAAUGGUAUCAUGAUGCUCUCCAAAAGCAUUCUUUCAGGUUCAAGUCCUGACAGCCCUG
rnacentral:tRNA from 1 species